ensembl:lncRNA
UAAAACCCCAAACAGCAAGCAAUGCAGGUGUAGAAGCACGGUGGCUAGGAAAAACUCCCUAGAAAGGCCAAAACCUAGGAAGAAACCUAGAGAGGAACCAGGCUAUGUGGGGUGGCCAGUCCUCUUCUGGCUGUGCCGGGUGGAGAUUAUAACAGAACAUGGCCAAGAUGUUCAAAUGUUCAUAAAUGACCAGCAUGGUCGAAUAAUAAUAAGGCAGAACAGUUGAAACUGGAGCAGCAGCACAGUCAGGUGGAAGUUGAAACUGGAGCAGCAGCAUGGCCAGGUGGACUGGGGACAGCAAGGAGUCAUCAUGUCAGGUAGUCCUGGAGCUCAGGUCCUAGGGCUCAGGUCCUCCGAGAGAGAGAAAGAAAGAGAGAAGGAGAGAAUUAGAGAACGCACACUUAGAUUCACACAGGACACCGAAUAGGACAGGAGAAGUACUCCAGAUAUAACAAACUGACCCCAGCCCCCGACACAUAAACUACUGCAGCAUAAAUACUGGAGGCUGAGACAGG